rnacentral:rRNA from 1 species
ACAAGCCUGAGAAACGGCUAGUAGGACUAAGGUCUGCAGCAGGCGCGAAACUUACACAAUGCUAGAUUUCAUGAAAUAGCGAUGUAGUGAAGAAAAAUAACGAUGUGAUUGUAUUUAAACAUACUUUCACAAUUGGAAUGAGACGACUCUAAACCAGUCAGUCGAGUAACAAAUGGAGGGCAAGUCUGGUGCCAGCAGCCGCGGUAAUUCCAGCUCCAUUAGCAUACAUUAAAGUUGUUGCGGUUAAAAAGCUCGUAGUUGAAUUUUUAGCGGGCUCUUGUCGGGUGUGAGCCGUCAAGGGGCAUUGGUAAAACAGUGUCCUGGUUCACCACUCACUUGGAGCCCGUUGUUUCGUCACUUAAACGAGUGCGAAGCGGGUCGGCGAGACGCAUCUUCGUGAUGCUCACGACGACAUGUUUACCUUGAGAAAAUUAGAGUGCUCAGAGCAGGCAGUUGGGGUUUAACCACCUCUUUAUGCUUGAAUAAUGUUGCAUGGAAUAAUAGAAUACGGCCUCGGUUCUAUUCUGUUGGUCUUAUAGAACAACAAAUAAGUUGGUUUGGGCACAAAAUGGCUCUCUCUUGAUGUGGUUUAGCUUGCAAUCUUGUUGUCUGGGGCCUAAAAAUCUCAGUACCAAAUUCGAGUUGAAUCGUUAAGCAUCUUGGGUUUGAGUUAGCCCACAAAUCAACUGAGGCAAUGGUUAAAAGAAAUAGUCGCGGCGGCAUCAGUACUGCAUCGUGAGAG